rnacentral:rRNA from 1 species
UACGGAGGAGGCAAGCGUUAUCCGGAAUUACUGGGCGUAAAGCGUCCGCAGGCGGCACCUCAAGUCUGCUGUCAAAGACCGGGGCUUAACCCCAGAAAGGCAGUGGAAACUGAAGUGCUAGAGUGCAGUAGGGGUAGAGGGAAUUCCCGGUGUAGCGGUGAAAUGCGUAGAGAUCGGGAAGAACAUCGGUGGCGAAAGCGCUCUGCUGGACUGCAACUGACACUCAGGGACGAAAGCUAGGGGAGCGAAUGGG